rnacentral:lncRNA from 1 species
CCACGCAGUUGAAAUUGAAUAUAGAUAGUUGGUAGAUUCAUUUUUUAACUCACAAAACUUCCUGAUGUUAAAGUCUACAAAAACUGGUUAUAAGUUAUAACUUAUAGUGUUGUCGAUCAGUUAUUGAAUUGAUGAAUGUGUUAAUCUUCCAGUUUUGAAUUGUGCUAUAUUUACUGGACUUUAUUUAUAGGAACUUUAACAAAUGAGUCGCUGUUUUUUUAUGUGAGUUAGGCCUAUUGCGAGAUUAGUUAAUAUACAAGUGAAACGUUUUCCAUUGCGCAAUUUUUACACAGUAAAGAAAAAUAACUUGCUAAGUGAUACUGAUAGAAACCGUUAGAACUUCCAACUUGAAAGUUUAAUCCAAGUUAUAGAACAUAGUUCAUUUGUUGUGUCGUUGUUCAAUUGUUGGCACACAAUAACCAUGGCAGAAAAAAAAUUUGAAGAAUUUAAAGUUUUUACUGACAGUGAAGAAGGACCCACUCGUGUUGGACCCCAGAAUAGAAAUCAACGCUAUAAAAUACCUCUUUUUCCUAAACAAGUCCAAUCUUCAUCAUUGUUACCACCUAAAUCACAGAGUUCCAUGACAACAGAGUCUUCAAGCAAAAAAACAGAAGGAAAUAAAGAAUCUAGCAAUCCUUCUUCCAAAACCAAAAUAUCGACACCACGUCCUCCCCCUUUUCUAAAAUGAUGUUUAAACAUUGAUAUUGGUGCUGUUCCAAUGUUUGUGAUUUUCAAUCUACAUUGCAAAACAUAUGUUUUCAUUACAAUUUAUUGUAAUUGAAGAAAAAAUCUUGAUAAGUUAUGUAUAUACAUAUUUUAUACUUUGCACAAACAAAAAAUAAUAUAAUUUUACUGGUAGUACUAAAGAAGUGACCAUUGACUUUUUAUUUGUUUUUACAUGUUUUACAAAUAGUGUUGCUUUGAAUAUAAGAAUUAAAAAGGUAAUAUCUUUUAAAGUUGAAAUACACUAAAGUGUACAAAUAUUUUUAUGUAUUUCAUUAUCUAUGGUUGUUAGUUUAUUGUGUACCUUAUCAAAGUUAGAUAUAAUUUCAAUGAAUUCUAGGAUAGAACUGGGUGACUUAAUUAUCUUUGAGUAGCAAUUACAUUGAUUAGUGUCUCAUAAACUAAUCUGUUAAUCAAAAUUACGAUUAGGUUGUCACAAAAAUAAUAAACUUGUUUGUUGUUAAGCACAAAGCUACAUAAUGAGUUAUCUGUGCUGUGCCAAAUUUUAGCCUUGUAAAUUUUUUUACUUCAAGUUUGCUUAGAUUUGAGAGGGGGGGAGGCUGCUUCGAUUCCAACUACCACCAAACUUUCUUGUCCCAUUUUUGUUAUGGCACAGUUACUGAAGCUAUCUGCCACUGAUUUUGAAUUAUUGACUUUUUUCCUCCCCUAAUUGGAUUGCUAAUCCUUUUUUUGUUUGGUUCAUUGUUGGUUAUGUUCCAUGGUUUGAAGAACACUGUACUAAGUACUAACUGAUUAACGGGUCUCUGAAUGAAUUGAUUAACAAAUACCAUUAAUGUAUACCAGUUGUACUCCAUGAUGUACAAAAUCAGUGUUAAUUUUUCAUCUGUUUAAUACACAACACUUUGAUCUAUUUUUAGGUCAUUUUUUCUCAAAUGACUUUAUCCCAUCCAGGAUUCUUAUCUUCAAGGAAAUGUUUUAAUGUGUAUAUUCACAAUCAUAUAUGCUAAAAGUGUAGAAUAAAUCUAAAGGAUUAUAGUCAGUUUACUUACUAAUAAUUUAAACACCCAAAUUUUAUUUAACUUCUAAUGUAUUACAGUUUAUUGUUCAAUGGUUUGAUAUUUGUAUAUCCAUGGAUGUUGAGACCCAUUACACGAGGUGAAUCCGGUUUAUGGAUAUGUUUUUUCACAGAACUAUGCAUUUCAAUACCAAAAUAAAACAAUAUUUUAAGUUUUAACUACACUUAGAAAAUUGUAUUGCAAAUAACUUGCAUCAAUGAAUUGCAGAAAGUCCUUACGGAGAACAUUUCAAUGAUUAAGUUCUUAUUCUGGUCCUUUCUUUACACUUUCACAACUGAAGAUGGCAUUGCAUUCAUUUUCUGACUAAGAGCUAAUUUUGUUAGCAAGAGAUUUCAGCAUUUUAACGUGGAAUUCUUUCCGAGAAUAGACAAUGAUGGGGAAGAAACUGGAAGUAGGCACAUCAUCACAUUCAUUUGGACAGUGGUUGGUAAUGCCACUGUUGUUGUAGGUUCUUAGAGUUAUAGUGCUCAUUUACUUGAUUCCAAAGCUUUCUAGUGGUUGAUUUAAUAUAUUCUUAGCUGUAUAUUGGGCAUGUGAAUUCAUAUACUACUAGUGAGGUGUUUUAAUGAAUGUUAUCUUUAAAGAUGGAGAGCCCUUUUUUCCUUCUGUUUUAGAGACACAUUUUAACUGAACUUGUGGAUAUAACUUUUUAAUAAUCUACUUGAUAAUGUAUCAAAUAUUUCCAAAGUAUAAGUAACAAUUUUCAUUAGAAAAUUUAAGGUAACAGAUGAGGUAUUUAAUUUUUCAGUUUUGGUGUGAAUUAUUUAUGUAAUAAUAACAGAAAAUUUCUUCUCAGCUUUAACUUUAUGCUUUGAACUUCUGCUUCAAAAAGGCUUGAUUUAUUGAUACUUUAAACACUAUAUAGCAUGGUUUUAACCAGACUUUCUUUAAAGACAGAUAACAAUGAUUUUUGAGGUCAAAUUAAUGUAACUGUUUAUCUCUACUCUCAGUCAAAGCUUUAUUGUUACAGUUUAUGUUUUUUAACUUUAAAAUAUCCUAGAUCUAGGGGGUUAACAAUAUUUUUCAGUUGCUUUAGAAUUUCUUCAAAUUGUUUCUUUCAAGUUUUAAUUUGCAGACUUUAUCUUUGAUUUUUAAGUCUUAGAAAUUUAUUUUGAGAUUACUUGUAAUCUCUAAAUGAACACCAUUCAGUAAUGGAAAAUGAAAAAAUUUUGAGAUUUUAUUCGUUUUCAAGCUCACAUUUUCAUGCAACAACUUGUGUUGUUUGAUAUGAACUCUAGUUUUCUAAAAUUUCAUAUGCAUAUACUUUUUGUUUUUUAAUUAUGGAUGGAACUGCAGCAGUCUGUAUUUGGUGUUAGAAAAUUCUGAAAGCAAGAAAUUGGAGCUCAAACAUGUAGUGACACAAAAAUAUGAAGUCAUUUAUAAAUGACUUGUGUGAUUCUACCUUAUUUUUAUUUUGAAAUGAAUUGAGUUUAGGGCCGUGUUCUUGAUUGAAUAUGAAGUCGAUGAGAAUUUUAUGUUUAAUGGCAAGUUUUCUCCAAGUGUGAAUUAUUUUUGAAUUGAUUUCAGGGAUGAAGGGUAAACUGUAGUGUAAUGUUGAGUUGUUGUUUGGUUUAUUAGUGCAAUUUUGUUCAUUGGUUAAUAUUUGAUAUUUUUGUUCUGGUGAUGGUGUAAGAAUUCUUCAUAAAUCAUAAAUCAAUUAAUCGGAAUUACGAAGAGGAAGUGAGCUUUCAGUCGUAACCAGACAAACUCCAAAGUGCAAGAAGUACAACAAACUGAACCUAGCAUUAUGGGGUCAUGACAUUACCUCGACUCAAGCGUAAGAACCUGGUAAAGCUGUAAUUGGUAUUACAGACAAAAUCAUAACUCACUCAACCGUAAAUGCAGAGCAGGGACAUUCUGAAUUAGGAAUUACGAGGAGGGCAUGGAACACUCUCCCAACCAUAGGAAGAAAGCACAGACAUCCUGUUGCUAGCAUUACAAAUUAGACAAUGUCUCCUAAACAUAACCAUAGAAGUAGAGAAAGUACCUUCUACAACCAGAAUUAAUGAAUUUAUGCCUGAACCCGGCAUUAUGCCUGGAUCCCGUGUAUGCUGGACCUGCUGCUACUAGUUUAAUUUAUUAUUCUGUCUAUUGUUUUCCACCUUGGAAAAAGCAUCCAAGGGAAAUGGAAGGAGGGAAACCAGCUUUGCCCUUUUCUCACUGAGUAGAUAAUCAUGAGCAUGCAUUGUAAAAUAAAUUUCUAAACUCACUCAGAAGGAAGCCUCCAUAGUCCACCAUCCCAGUGACCGGAAACUGAGAAGAGUUGGGACUAUCAUGCUCUACUAGAAGAAAAAGGUGAAUGCAGUGGGGAGUUUGGAGGAAUAUCACACUGGAGACAGUGCAUUGGUGUCUGCAAUUCCUUAUUUUGAAAAGAAGACCUACCCCAAUUUAUUCAAUCAAAGGUUUGGAAGGGAUGGGCAAAAUUCCCUUCUGCUUUGCUCAUGAAAUCCAUGAGUGAUAGUCCACCAUAGAUUGAAAUUGAGUGAUAUCUAGUACACACACACACACAAAUAUAUAUAUAUAUAUAUACAUACACCACUGGGUAAGCAACCAGUGGUCUCAUGAAAACACCCCUUCUCUGCAGUGAGUGUUAUAUAGCAACUCUGAACUAGUGUGAGUUUGAGUCAAAGCAUUCCUGACUAAGCAACAUGUGCCACAGAGUGGGAUCUUUAUAGCAGUAGGGGUGCUGAAAAGAAGGGAUAAGACUUACCCCAGUCAAAGGUUAGUGGACGUGUGUAAAAUUGCCAUUGGAAGAAUGAGCAAUGGAAGUAUUAGGAUGGCAAAGAUUUGGUUUGGUUUGAAUUUUUUGCAAAACUACACAAGGGCUAUCUUUGCUAGCCAUCCCUAAUUUAGCAGUGAAAGACUAGAAAGAAGGCAGCUAGUCCUCACUACCCACUGAUAACACUUGGGCUGCUCUUUUAACAAAGAAUAGUGGAAUUGACUAUCACUUUAUAAUGCCCCAUAGCUGAAAGGAUGAGCAUGUUUGCUGAGACAGGGAUUUGGACCCACAACCCUCAGAUUGCGAGUCAGGUACCCUAACCACCUGACCAUGUUGGAUGGACAGCAAAGGCGAGCAGCCAAAGACAUAGUAAUGUUACGAAUUUGAUGUAAAGAGAUGUUGUAGAGAUUGUGACUUUCCAUGAAUAAGUCUGAAUACACCAGCCUUAUGAGUUGAUGAACCCAACCAAUGGGAGUGACAGAUCAUGGGAAACAGAAGGGCUCUAGGAAAUAAUACGUCGGGAACAUGAAUCCCGAAAUGAGGCAGUAUGUGCCACAUAACACCUUAAGGAGAAAACCAGACAAAGAAGCCUAUCUGGAUUGAAAUGACAGUACAGGUGGGAAAAAGAAGGUAAGGAAAUGGGUGAGAAAGCCAAACCACCUUCUAAAGCAGCAUAGAUCUUAGGGAGGAAGGGCUAGUCAGGGUAGAGGAUAACAUAAGAGAAAUGGUAAAGGAUAAAAGAAACAUUAAUGGCAUAAAUAUCCAAACAACGAUGCUCACAAGCAAGGAGGAUGAGGAAAUAGGUCUUGAGGAAGAGAUGUUACAGGGAACACAAAGCCAGUGGUUAAAAGGGGAAACAAGAAAGGGUAUAGAGGACCACAUUAAGAUCCUAAUCUGAUAAAACAAAGACACAUGGAGGGUGAAUGAUAUGGAAUUUGAAAUUGGAGCUCAAACAUGUAGUGACACAAAAAUAUGAAGACUGAAAAUUUUUAAAUAUUUCUCUUUCCAAUUAAGAAGUUAAACUUAGAUAGUACAUAAAUUUGAUUUAUAAACCAUAUUUUCAUGCCAAUUUAUGGACAUAUAUUGAUAAUAAAGAUGGUUAAUUUAA